rnacentral:rRNA from 1 species
AUUGAACGCUGGCGGCGUGCUUUACACAUGCAAGUCGGACGAGUGGCGAACGGGUGAGUAACGGAUCGGAACGUGCCGAGUAAUGGGGGCUAACUGUCAGAAAGGACAGCUAAUACCGCAUAUUAUUCGAGCGGCCGAUGGCUGAUUAGCUGGUUGUGGGGGUAAAGGCCCACAAAGGCGACGAUGCGUAGCGGGCCUGAGAGUGUGAUCCGCCACACUGGGACGAAGACACGGCCCAGACUCCUACGGGAAGCAGCAGUGGGGAAUCUUGGGCAAUGGGCGCAAGCCUGAUCCAGCCACGCCGCGUGACUGAAGAAGGCCUUCGGGUUGUAAAGGACUGUUGUCAGGGAAGCGGUACCUGAACAAUAAGCAACGGCUAACUACGUGCCAGCAGCCGCGGUAAUAC